AUUGAACGCUGGCGGCAUGCUUUACACAUGCAAGUCGAACGGUAACAGGCCUUCGGGUGCUGACGAGUGGCGAACGGGUGAGUAAUGCAUCGGAACGUACCCAGAGGUGGGGGAUAACGCAGCGAAAGCUGUGCUAAUACUGCAUGUGAUCUGAGGAUGACAGCGGGGGACCGAGCAGCAACGUUUGGCCUCGCGCCUUUGGAGCGGCCGAUGUCGGAUUAGCUAGUUGGUGGGGUAAAGGCCUACCAAGGCGACGAUCCGUAGCUGGUCUGAGAGGACGACCAGCCACACUGGGACUGAGACACGGCCCAGACUCCUACGGGAGGCAGCAGUGGGGAAUUUUGGACAAUGGGCGCAAGCCUGAUCCAGCAAUGCCGCGUGCGGGAAAAAGGCCUUCGGGUUGUAAACCGCUUUUGGCAGGAACGAAACGGUGUCCGCUAAUACCGGGCGCUAAUGACGGUACCUGCAGAAUAAGCACCGGCUAACUACGUG
rnacentral:rRNA from 1 species